UUGGUGCUUGCAUCAUGAUUUACAUUUGAGUGAGUGGCGAACUGGUGAGUAACACGUGGGAAACCUGCCCAGAAGCGGGGGAUAACACCUGGAAACAGAUGCUAAUACCGCAUAACAACUUGGACCGCAUGGUCCGAGUUUGAAAGAUGGCUUCGGCUAUCACUUUUGGAUGGUCCCGCGGCGUAUUAGCUAGAUGGUGAGGUAACGGCUCACCAUGGCAAUGAUACGUAGCCGACCUGAGAGGGUAAUCGGCCACAUUGGGACUGAGACACGGCCCAAACUCCUACGGGAGGCAGCAGUAGGGAAUCUUCCACAAUGGACGAAAGUCUGAUGGAGCAACGCCGCGUGAGUGAAGAAGGGUUUCGGCUCGUAAAACUCUGUUGUUAAAGAAGAACAUAUCUGAGAGUAACUGUUCAGGUAUUGACGGUAUUUAACCAGAAAGCCACGGCUAACUACGUGCCAGCAGCCGCGGUAAUACGUAGGUGGCAAGCGUUGUCCGGAUUUAUUGGGCGUAAAGCGAGCGCAGGCGGUUUUUUAAGUCUGAUGUGAAAGCCUUCGGCUCAACCGAAGAAGUGCAUCGGAAACUGGGAAACUUGAGUGCAGAAGAGGACAGUGGAACUCCAUGUGUAGCGGUGAAAUGCGUAGAUAUAUGGAAGAACACCAGUGGCGAAGGCGGCUGUCUGGUCUGUAACUGACGCUGAGGCUCGAAAGUAUGGGUAGCAAACAGGAUUAGAUACCCUGGUAGUCCAUACCGUAAACGAUGAAUGCUAAGUGUUGGAGGGUUUCCGCCCUUCAGUGCUGCAGCUAACGCAUUAAGCAUUCCGCCUGGGGAGUACGGCCGCAAGGCUGAAACUCAAAGGAAUUGACGGGGGCCCGCACAAGCGGUGGAGCAUGUGGUUUAAUUCGAAGCUACGCGAAGAACCUUACCAGGUCUUGACAUACUAUGCAAAUCUAAGAGAUUAGACGUUCCCUUCGGGGACAUGGAUACAGGUGGUGCAUGGUUGUCGUCAGCUCGUGUCGUGAGAUGUUGGGUUAAGUCCCGCAACGAGCGCAACCCUUAUUAUCAGUUGCCAGCAUUAAGUUGGGCACUCUGGUGAGACUGCCGGUGACAAACCGGAGGAAGGUGGGGAUGACGUCAAAUCAUCAUGCCCCUUAUGACCUGGGCUACACACGUGCUACAAUGGAUGGUACAACGAGUUGCGAACUCGCGAGAGUAAGCUAAUCUCUUAAAGCCAUUCUCAGUUCGGAUUGUAGGCUGCAACUCGCCUACAUGAAGUCGGAAUCGCUAGUAAUCGCGGAUCAGCAUGCCGCGGUGAAUACGUUCCCGGGCCUUGUACACA
rnacentral:rRNA from 2 species